AAAACAAAAUUAUAAGUCCAAGAUUCAACAAUACCAGUCUGCUAGAGACCAUCUCAAAGUCUAAUGAAGUGAAAAAGAUGGACACAUUUCAAUGAGAACUUGUAAGAAACGCAUUCGGAUGUUUUCUCUGAAAACAAGUGUCAAAAUCACAUGAUAAUUUUGUUUAACUGUAUGACAUGUAUCACAGUGUGGUUGGACUGUAGUAGGUGAGUAUCAGGAUGUGGGAAUGGGUAGAAAGCAUGCAAGGUGGUAUGAAGAGGCUAGUGUGGCAAGAAAAGCAUGCAAGGUGUGAGUUUUGAUUAUAUUAGGAAGAGUGCAAGGGUUGGUGAGUGCAGUCAUGAAAGUUGUCUGAUGAGGAUGGCUGUAUUUGCAAGGUGGCUGGUCUGAUUUCAUGGUGUGUACGGGUGUACAAGAGAGUAAAUGAGGAACAAAUGAAGAUGGUCAGCAGCAUUCUCACCAGUAAGAAGCCAAAAACCGAGGAAAUACCAUGCAAAGCGGAACACAAGGCUUCAACUCCAGAAGAUGAUUCAAGUCACCCUGAGGAGAAUGGGAAGGGGGGAGGGAGAUCUCGCCGGUUCCAAUUUAUUAACUGCAGUGUGCAAAUAUUGUAAAAAAAUAAAUCAUUUUGAAUG